GCGCAAUACACAAGGAAAUUUAUUGAUAAAAUUUUGAAAUGAAUUCAAGUGUCUGGUUAUUUAAUUUAUCCAAACUUGAAAGGUGUGAAACAAUAAAUUUUGGAGUUAAAGCUCCUCCUUUCAUUUGAAAUUAUAUAAGCCUUCAUGUCAUGCAAUCAAUUGUUUGGCUUAUAUGUCUUUAAUGAUUUUGCUUUCUUAAAAGUUCAGA
rnacentral:lncRNA from 1 species